UCCCAUAGAUGAGACUCUGCUCCCUCCAAACGUCGACCACACAUAUGCCCCAUGGGCUUUUGUUUUAAAUCCCCUCUUUGGUUCUAUUUGCCUCUUAGCAUGGAGGAACUUUGCAGGGAUGACUUGGGGCUGAAGGGCAGUUAGUUGAGCUGAUUUACUCUCCUGGGUGAAUAUUAAGCUCUAUUCAUUUCUUAUUCAUGUCUGAAGAACCUUCAUGAAUGUAUCAUCAGCCAUAGCAGACAGAUGCAGAUCUGGCUCCUGGGGAUUCAUCCCGUGGGUGUCUGUGACUGUGGCCCUGCUGACAUUCAGAUUCUUGAAUCCGGGCUGGCAUCCUGAUCAACCAUGGCAGACAGGCUGCAGUAGAAGUGUUGUGUGACUCUAGAGCUAAGACCCCCAAGGCCUUGCAAGCUCUGCCUUAUAACCAGGGACCUGUGGGAGGAAGCCUGAGAUAGCCGUGUGGAAAAGACUGUGGGAAGCAGAGUCCAACGCCAUGGGCUACUGCCAUAUGGGCAGCCGCUCCAGCCUAGUCUGGUCUCAUGGAUCUGCUGACUCAUCACCAAGGAGCUGCACACAGCCAGCCAGCAUGGGAAAAGGCGUCAUUAGUUUGUGAAGUCAGUAUGUUUGGAGGUGGGGCAAUCUUUAAUCACAACUCUCUCUAAAACGCUAUGGCAUCUAUGUUGGGUAUACAUGAAAUGCCAGUGUAUGUGGAAAUCAUAGGCUGCCAUUCAUGCAGUUGAAAAGAAACCACAAUGCCCUCAUUUAAGUGUAAACAUAACAAGAAAAUAGUUUAUAAUAAGAUAAUUGUGCUUGAAGUCAUAAUGAAAUGGCUACAUGUGCCGAAGCCACCAGGAACUUCUCCACCCCAGCUGGGAUGUGGUAGAUGACACCUGCGUGGAUCUCAUCAGUGAGCUGAUUUUAUAUCCAAAAUUGUAGCCAAAUUCAGAGAAACAGAAAAUUGUAGUUUCUCUCUACUGAUACAACAGUUGCGGCAUUAGAAAAGUAACAUGAACACUGUAGCUCCAUUGUGUGUGUGUGCAUAAAUGUAUAUAUGCACAUAAUAGAGUUAUAUUGUACACUCAUAAAUUAUAAAUACAUCCAAAAGAUGAGAAACUCACCAGCCACAGAUAGAUGGCUUUUAGCUAGAAAUAAAUUGAUAAUGAUCAGAAAUGUGGGUCUUCACAAGAUAAUGGUAACUCCAGACAUGGCAACCAUGUGAGUUGGCACUUAAGAUACUUUUCCUAUGUUUACAUCGCUUCCAAUGAUAGUUGGCUCUUUAAACAAACAAACAAACAAACAAACAAACAAACAAACAAUAUGAGAAUGAGCACACAGACACCAGGAGGGAUAAAGUGGAAGGACACUACUGUACACAUUAUGUGUACCAGGACAUAAUGUAUAUGAUAUAUAAUUCAUGAUACCCAUCAGAUGAUAAUUGCUGUUGACGAUAGCUGUAUCUGGGGCUGGAGAUGGUUCUAUGGCUAAAAGCACUCACUACUCUUGCAGACAGCCCGAAUUUAGGUCUCAUUUAGCACCCAUUUUGGCUUGCUCACAGCUGCCUGUAACUUUGACUGGCUUUUGAGGGCAGCUACACAUACCCAGCAUAUACUUAUACAGAUAAAUACACG
rnacentral:lncRNA from 1 species